GCAAUAGGCCAGCUGGAGGCAAAACUCACAAGAAUGUGGGGGCCCCUACUAUUGGAUGUCUUUGGAGCUUUUCACUCUGAACUAGCCUGAGUCCACACCAAUUGAUCAAUUAUCAAUAAAUUUGGCCUACUGAUGUUGGCUUCAGCUGCAGGCUGCUGCUUCUGGGUUUUGCUUCUGAAACUAUAAAGGAGCCUUGGCCACAAAAAUCUCCAUAGUAGAAGAUUAUACUCAUUGAAAGAAGCUUUGAUUCUUAUGCAUCCUAAAGGAUCAAAUGAUAGAAGACUUGUGGGAUCACAAAUAAAAAUGUAUCACUGAAGGACCUAACAAAGG